rnacentral:rRNA from 1 species
AUGGAGCUUGUGGUGGGCGCGUCGGAGGCGACGAUGAAGUCCCUCCUGGGCAAGCUGGGGGGCCUUCUCUCCCAGGAGUACACCCUGAUAAGGGGUGUGAACGGCGACCUCCAGUACAUCAACGACGAGCUACGCACCAUGCAGUCCUUCCUCCGUGCCGUCGGCAAGGGCCACGGCCACGGCCACGACGACCUGAUGGACGACUGGAUGAAGCAGAUCCGCGACAUCACCUACGACAUUGAAGACUGCAUCGACGACUCUGCCGACCGCCUCCACGGCCUGCGCUCCGACGUCUGCUGCUACUUCCUCGUCAACAGCAUGUACGAGGUCCUCACGUGGUGGCCUCGCCGCGACGUCGCCAGCCGGAUCUCCGUCCUCAAGAUGCGGGCGCAGCAGAUCGGCGAGCGGCGCAACCGCUACGGCGUCAACAACCCGGAGACCGGCGCCGGCGGAGCCCCUACGGGCACUCGCAGUACUGCCCUUGGAUUCGACGCCGCUGACAACCAGGAGGAGAGUCUGCAGCUUGUCGCGUUGAAGGGCCCGGUGGGGGUGGAGGAGCACAUGCGGGAGCUGGAGAAGCCGGUGACCUGCAUCGUUGGGUUCGGCGGGGUGGGGAAGACCGCCAUUGCGACGGCCUUGUACAGGAGAUUUGGGGACAAAUUCCACCACCGGGCGAUGGUUACGGUGUCUCAGAUCUCAGACCUGGGGGGCAUUCUCAGAAGCAUCGACGGUCAAGUCAGGCCGCAGGCAAGCAAUGAGAAGCAGCAAAGCAGCUCGGCGGAGAGCGGUAUCACCGCAGCCAUCAAGGGUGUACGGGGUCACAUCAGCCAAGGCACGUCAGCCGUCAUGGCCAAGUGCUGCGGCGGCGCCGGCAUCCCGGAGGAAGACAGGGCAAAGCUGGAUCUUCUCAAGAAAGACCUCAAGGAUCACUUCAAGGAAAACAGUUACUUGAUCUUAAUUGAUGAUGUGUGGUCUGCAACAACGCUGGACAAUAUUAUAAAUGCACUUCCCGAAAAUAAAGACAGCAGAAUAAUAGUCACUACACGGUUUCAUGCUGUUGCUACAACACGAAGAGGAGAAGGUGACAUUCGUAGAGUUAAAGGUCUUGGUGAUGAGCAAUCUGAGAAGUUAUUUUGGCAGGCUUUCUUGGAGUCCAAAGGAAGUGAAGAUGCUAUUAGACAUGAUCUCCUUGAUGGCAACAAACCUGCUGAAUUACCUAACCAAGCUGUCUCUGAACCUGACGGUAGCAAAGAUGUUAUUCCAGAUAAGGUUUGGAAGAUGUGUGGAGGGUUGCCAUUGGCCAUAGUUAUCAUGGCUGGUUAUGUGGCCUGCAAUUCACGCAAAUCGGAGAAGGAAUGGUUGGAUGUUUGCAGUUCCAUAUUUCCAGAGUCUGGAAAAGAUCGUGCGAAAGCUGGUGGGAAAGAGCUUACCCAGGAAGAAGUGGGAAAGAUCAUUAGCCAUUGCUAUAAUGACAUGCCUGCUGAAAUCAAGACUUGCUCACUGUAUUUGAGCAUAUUUCCGAAGGGCCACAGAAUCAGCAGGAAGCGUUUGACAAGGCGAUGGAUAGCCGAAGGUUUCGUCUGUGAGAAGCAGGGGUUGAGUGUGGAAGAUGUCGCAGAGACAUAUUUCAAUCAUCUCAUAAGGAGGAAGAUCAUCCGAGCAGCGGAGCACAGCAGUAAUGGCAAGGUGAAGAAGUGCAUAGUCCACGACAUGGUUCUUGAGCACAUCGUAGCAAAGGCGAGUGAAGAGAACUUCAUCACUGUGGUUGGCGGCAGUUGGGUCAUGCAGCCUCCUACCAGCAAGGUCCGUCGGUUGUCCCUCCAAGGCAGUGAUUCCAAACGUUCAAAGGAUACUGAGAAGAUGAACUUAUCUCAUGUCCGGUCAGUAACCAUGUUUGGGAGUCUGAACAACCAGCUACCUUCUCGUUCAUUCAAGUUUGGAAUUGUACAGGUCCUGGAUCUUGAAGGCUGCACGGGUUUCAAACAGCACCAUACAGAGGAGAUAUGCAAAAUGCUUCAUGUUAAGUAUCUCAGCCUUCGAAAAACUGACAUUAAAAAGCUCCCUGAGAGGAUCAGAAAGCUUAAGAACCUUGAGACUCUGGACAUAAGGGGCACAAAUGUUGUUGAGUUGCCUAAUACCAUAUGCCAGCUUGAACGGCUGGUUAACAUACUUGGUGGGGAUAAAACAACCCGUGUGGCACUGAAGCUUCCUGAAGAGUUGAAGAAGAAGAAAAUGAAGGCCCUGCGCAUACUCUCAGGGAUUGAAAUUGCUGGGGGGUCUGCAGACUUCCAUCAUUUGACUGAGCUGAGGAAGCUUGCCAUCUACAAGCUUAAAGCCACUAAGAAUGAUCCGAGUUUCAAAGAGUUGAGCUCCUCUAUUGAGUACCUUGGUGGCUACUCUCUACAAACCCUCGUAAUUGAUGACGAAUCAUCUGAGUUUAUUAAAUCACUGGAUGAUCUGUCAUCCCCUCCAAAAUUCCUCGUUGCCCUCGAGUUAUCUGGAAAGAUAGUUAAGCUCCCCUGCUGGAUCAAACAACUCAGUUCUCUCAAGAAGUUGACCCUUUCAAUAACAGCUCUUCGGACAGAUAACUUGAAGCAACUUAGCAAUCUGGAGGCACUGUUUUCUCUCACCUUUUCAUUUUCAUUUAGAGCAGAAAAACAGGACCCGGAAACACUGACCAUUCUUGCAAAAAACAAGCUGUUGCCCUGCUGCGGAGGGGAGAUCACAGUCCCAGAUGGAGGAUUUAAGAGCCUUAAACUCCUUUGCUUCUCUGCUCCUCUCCUGCCAUCCCUGAUCUUCUCAGAACAAGCCAUGCCGGAGCUGGAAAGGCUUGAGCUACGGUUUAACAUACUGGAGGGCCUUUUUGGUGUGGAAAAUCUUGCAAAGCUCAAAGAGGUGCAUUUGACGUUGGAUGACAAGGCUGGGGAAGGAAUAACCACAGAGAUAGUAAGCGAGAUGGAGAGUGCAAUGAAGAGAACUGGUGGCAAGACGCCGCAGAUCAUCCUUCACCAGUGA